CGACCAUCAAGCGCGGCUUGGUAUUGGGAGCCGUCCACGGACGCGCCCUAAAGUCAGUGGCGACGCCGUCCGGCCUCUAGCGUAGUAAAUCGCCUCGCUAUGGGACCGUCCGGCCGUCUGCCGACAGCACAACCACAUCUCAA
rnacentral:misc_RNA from 1 species